UUUUCAGCAGCCGCGGUAAGACGAACCGUGCGAACGUUGUUCGGAAUCACUGGGCUUAAAGGGCGCGUAGGCGGUCGGGCAAGUCCGGGGUGAAAUCCUGCAGCUUAACUGUAGAAGUGCCUUGGAUACUGCUCGGCUCGAGGGAGGUAGGGGUCUGUGGAACUUCUGGUGGAGCGGUGAAAUGCGUUGAUAUCAGAAGGAACGCCGGUGGCGAAAGCGACAGACUGGACCUCUUCUAACGCUGAGGCGCGAAAGCUAGGGGAGCAAACGGGAUUAGAAACCCGGGUAGUCC
rnacentral:rRNA from 1 species